UUGACAGCCCUGGAGACUGAUACUUUCUACUUAUCCACAGAAGGGGUACAGCACAGACUGUAGCAGUGCAAAUUUACUGACACGUCCCUCACUAAUAUGCUUCAACCUAGCUACGGAGGGGCAACCUCCAAAGAAUGUUCCCAUUCAGUCUUUGGCCUCUUUGCUGGGAUUGC
ensembl:misc_RNA